rnacentral:tRNA from 3 species
GGAGAGAUGGCUGAGUGGUUGAUAGCUCCGGUCUUGAAAACCGGUAUAGUUCUAGGAACUACCG